ACGAACGCUGGCGGCGCGCCUAACACAUGCAAGUCGAACGGAGCUGAGAGGAGCUUGCUUUUCUUAGCUUAGUGGCGAACGGGUGAGUAACGCGUGAGUAACCUACCCUGGAGUGGGGGACAACAGUUGGAAACGACUGCUAAUACCGCAUAAGCCCACGAUCCGGCAUCGGAUUGAGGGAAAAGGAUUUAUUCGCUUCAGGAUGGACUCGCGUCCAAUUAGCUAGUUGGUGAGGUAACGGCCCACCAAGGCGACGAUUGGUAGCCGGACUGAGAGGUUGAACGGCCACAUUGGGACUGAGACACGGCCCAGACUCCUACGGGAGGCAGCAGUGGGGGAUAUUGCACAAUGGGGGAAACCCUGAUGCAGCGACGCCGCGUGGAGGAAGAAGGUUUUCGGAUUGUAAACUCCUGUCGUUAGGGACGAUAAUGACGGUACCUAACAAGAAAGCACCGGCUAACUACGUGCCAGCAGCCGCGGUAAAACGUAGGGUGCAAGCGUUGUCCGGAAUUACUGGGUGUAAAGGGAGCGCAGGCGGACCGGCAAGUUGGAAGUGAAAACUAUGGGCUCAACCCAUAAAUUGCUUUCAAAACUGCUGGCCUUGAGUAGUGCAGAGGUAGGUGGAAUUCCCGGUGUAGCGGUGGAAUGCGUAGAUAUCGGGAGGAACACCAGUGGCGAAGGCGACCUACUGGGCACCAACUGACGCUGAGGCUCGAAAGCAUGGGUAGCAAACAGGAUUAGAUACCCUGGUAGUCCAUGCCGUAAACGAUGAUUACUAGGUGUUGGAGGAUUGACCCCUUCAGUGCCGCAGUUAACACAAUAAGUAAUCCACCUGGGGAGUACGACCGCAAGGUUGAAACUCAAAGGAAUUGACGGGGGCCCGCACAAGCAGUGGAGUAUGUGGUUUAAUUCGAAGCAACGCGAAGAACCUUACCAAGUCUUGACAUCCCUCUGACCGGAACUUAACCGUUCCUUCCCUUCGGGGCAGAGGAGACAGGUGGUGCAUGGUUGUCGUCAGCUCGUGUCGUGAGAUGUUGGGUUAAGUCCCGCAACGAGCGCAACCCUUAUUGCCAGUUACUACGCAAGAGGACUCUGGCGAGACUGCCGUUGACAAAACGGAGGAAGGUGGGGAUGACGUCAAAUCAUCAUGCCCUUUAUGACCUGGGCUACACACGUACUACAAUGGCGUUUAACAAAGAGAAGCAAGACCGCGAGGUGGAGCAAAACUCAAAAACAACGUCUCAGUUCAGAUUGCAGGCUGCAACUCGCCUGCAUGAAGUCGGAAUUGCUAGUAAUCGCGGAUCAGCAUGCCGCGGUGAAUACGUUCCCGGGCCUUGUACACACCGCCCGUCACACCAUGGGAGUUUGUAACACCCGAAGUCAGUGACCCAACCGCAAGGAGGGAGCUGCCGAAGGUGGGAUAAGCGACUGGGGUG
rnacentral:rRNA from 1 species